rnacentral:ncRNA from 1 species
GUUCAAAGGAAGAAAGGCUGACGGUGGAUACCUAGGCACCCAGAGACGAGGAAGGGUGUAGUCAGCGACGAAAUGCUUUGGGGAGUUGUAAAUAAGCGUUGAUCCGGAGGUCAACCUUUCAAAUUGCUACUGAGUCCAUGGGCAGACAAGAGACAACCUGGCGAACUGAAACAUCUUAGUAGCCUGAGGAAAAGAAAUCAAAAGGGAUUCCUGUAGUAGCGUCGAACGAAAUGGGAGCAGCCUAAACCAUGAAAACAGGGUUGUGGGAGAGCAAUACAAGCGUCGUGCUGCCAGGCGAAGCGGUGGAGUGUUGCAUCCUAGAUGGCGAGAGUCCAGUAGCCGAAAGCAUCACUAGCUUACGCUCUGA